rnacentral:rRNA from 1 species
CAGGCUUAACACAUGCAAGUCGAACGGGCGUAGCAAUACGUCAGUGGCAGACGGGUGAGUAACGCGUGGGAACGUACCUUUUGGUUCGGAACAACACAGGGAAACUUGUGCUAAUACCGGAUAAGCCCUUACGGGGAAAGAUUUAUCGCCGAAAGAUCGGCCCGCGUCUGAUUAGCUAGUUGGUGAGGUAACGGCUCACCAAGGCGACGAUCAGUAGCUGGUCUGAGAGGAUGAUCAGCCACAUUGGGACUGAGACACGGCCCAAACUCCUACGGGAGGCAGCAGUGGGGAAUAUUGGACAAUGGGCGCAAGCCUGAUCCAGCCAUGCCGCGUGAGUGAUGAAGGCCCUAGGGUUGUAAAGCUCUUUUGUGCGGGAAGAUAAUGACGGUACCGCAAGAAUAAGCACCGGCUAACUACGUG